GUUGAUAACUAGCUGCACUAGGCUGUUCCUCCAAAAGCUGAAGUAAAAAGAAGUUAUUUCAGUCAAUCAUGAUAUUUCCUGGUUUUAUCAGUUGAAGCUGGAUACAUCCUAAUCAAAAUUGUAGAAAUGCUGAGAGGAAAAAUGGACUCCUUCACCACCCCUGUGAGAACUUCAGACUUUGUUUUAGCUCCGAGGGCCUUCGACCACUAAUGAAGGAAGUGCUACAUCAGCGACAGGAGGAGGAGGGAGCAGUUGAGGGGAGCUCUUUGGCCCAGAUGUUGAGGGAUACGCUGGAACCCAUUCCUGAAACCCAAACGUUUAUGAGGCAGCUCAAGAAGUGUGAUGGCCUCUUGUUGUCCAUCCCUCUGGAGGAAGGGACCAUGGCUUAUGGGAGUCAAUGGUGGACAAGGUGAAUGGAAAAGACAUUGCUCAGGUAAAUGAACAAUUAAGCAGUGACGGUUGAGACUUAAGGAUGGGGUGUAAUGGGGUUAGUAACCGACCCAGGGUUGCAUAAAUCUAAAAACAAGCAGUGGGGGGCUUACCUCUACUUUUCUUUUCUGAAAAACUCUGGACAGCUCGACGAUGCCUUUCUAGAGACCUUUUGGAACUUACACAUUGGUAGCCCUGUGGGAGUAAAUAUAUCAUGCAUAAGCUGUUUUUGCUUGUGUUUGAGACACAGAUCUCAAGAAGAAAAUCUGGAAAAGGACAAAAAGGAAGAAUGAACCAGCUCAGACUCCCUAAUGGUAGGGGUCAUGGUGUACAUUUUCACAGGUGGCUGUAAAAGGUCGUGUUAAAUCAGGCGAUUAAUAAAACUUGUUCAAAUUUGUCAAUAUGAAUGUGUCCCCUCCACACUCGGUAGAAACAGACUUAUUUUCCCUUUAUCCGCAUCGCUCUGCUUCAUGUAUGUUAGGUACCUUUGAAGCAUGGCACUGUAAAGUUUAGCCUUUUUGUAUUCGGAUAAGUCAGUCCUUUGAAGAACAGACUUCAUUUAAGCAUCCAGUAAGCGAGUUGUGGUCCUUCUCAUAUUUUCCUCCAACGGAGGGGGAGCCCUUAAUUGCUCCAACUGGCGGCUGGGCACCAGGUACAUUUUUUUCUGCAUACUCCAUUGUUGAUUAGUCAAA